AACGAACGCUGGCGGCAGGCUUAACACAUGCAAGUCGAACGCACCCUUCGGGGUGAGUGGCAGACGGGUGAGUAACGCGUGGGAACGUGCCCUUCAGUUCGGGAUAACCCAGGGAAACUUGGGCUAAUACCGGAUACGUGCGAGAGCAGAAAGAUUUAUCGCUGAAGGAUCGGCCCGCGUCUGAUUAGCUAGUUGGUGGGGUAAUGGCCCACCAAGGCGACGAUCAGUAGCUGGUCUGAGAGGACGAUCAGCCACAUUGGGACUGAGACACGGCCCAAACUCCUACGGGAGGCAGCAGUGGGGGAUAUUGGACAAUGGCGCAAGCCUGAUCCAGCCAUGCCGCGUGAGUGAUGAAGGCCUUAGGGUUGUAAAGCUCUUUCGUCCGGGACGAUAAUGACGGUACCGGAAGAAGAAGCCCCGGCUAACUUCGUGCCAGCCGCCGCGGUAA
rnacentral:rRNA from 1 species